rnacentral:rRNA from 1 species
UACGUAGGUGGCAAGCGUUGUCCGGAUUUAUUGGGCGUAAAGCGAGCGCAGGCGGUUUCUUAAGUCUGAUGUGAAAGCCCCCGGCUCAACCGGGGAGGGUCAUUGGAAACUGGGAGACUUGAGUGCAGAAGAGGAGAGUGGAAUUCCAUGUGUAGCGGUGAAAUGCGUAGAUAUAUGGAGGAACACCAGUGGCGAAGGCGGCUCUCUGGUCUGNUAACUGACGCUGAGGCUCGAAAGCGUGGGGAGCAAACAGGAUUAGAUAC